UCCGCCGCCGGGACUUCCUCACAGAAGAGGAGGAGCCUAACUUCCGAGAGGCACUUAGGGGACGAUCUGAAAUCCAACAAAAGCAAGGGCUGGUGGGAUCAGGGAGGCGGCGCGCCCGGGAGGCUGGCCAGGCCCGGGCACUGCUCCUUCUGGGCCGGCUGGGGCCCUGUUUCCCAGCAGGCGGACUCCAGCCAAAGGGCUGCUGCUUAAACGCACACUCUGGCCAAGUGGGCCCCGGGCCGAGGGAGACUUUCAGGGCCAUUUUCCUGUUUCUGGCCAAGUGGCUGAUGGUCCCUGGGGCUCGGGAGGGAGGAGCAGGCCCGAUGGGAUGAGGGGCCGCAGGGCCGGGACCUCGGGUGUGGCUGGCAGGAGGGUUGUACGGUCCCUUGUAGGUCAGCCUCGAAGGGCUCUGGCAGAGGGGAGAGGGCCUGGUUCCUCGGCCUGGCAAGGAAGGAAGAGCUGGAAGCUGGCUCGCUUCAAAGACGAUCCCCCAGGACGUGUCUCAUCCUCCCUCUGGAGGGCCGUGGAGGUCAGGUCCCGCGCCAGGAUGUGGGUCCUCUUCCUGUGACAGCCCCUCCCAGCUGGUUCUGGAGAGUUCCACGACAGGACCAGUCAGUUAGCUCAGUUCGUUCAUGCGUGACUCUGCCGGGACCUUGGGGCCUGAGGUGGUCACCGGAGGUAGGGGUGCUGUGCAGAGGGGGGAACCCACACUAGGGCCUCCUGGAAGGCUGAGUCCAAGUGGUGUGAAGGAAGGUUGGGUUCAGACAGGUACCCUGCAGCCGCAGGGGGCAGGUCAGUGGCCCCCACGGUCACACUGGCUGCACCUGGGGUCAGCCAGGGAGCGCGGAGAUCAAGUGGAAACAUCAGACUAGCACCAGGCGCCCAAGGGCCUGGAGGACCACACAACUGGCUCUACCCUGAGCUGGCAGCAGGGAGGUUCUGGUGGAAAGUGGUGCCGUGAAGGAACCUGUGGGCAGAAGCCACAGGACACCUAGCGCUGAGCAGCUCCGGGACGGACGCCGGCCUUCCCGCAUGGAGCACCGGGGAGCCGAGGAAUGGCCGGAGGAGGUGACCCUGGGACCUCCAGCCACGGUACGCAGGCUCCGGAAAACGUCCUCAUGAGGCAACGAACAUUCCCAUCACCCAUCCCCAGCCGUCCCCAGAAGCCGGUCAUCUGCCCUGGUCACCAGAGAUUAGUCUGGACGCUGCAAGGUCUCCCCGUGGAAUGGUUGGAUUGCACCGUGGUGCACGUGUAUGUGCUCGGCCGUCCUUCUUUCUGUCUUUUUAACUUCAGUCGAGGCAAAUGGAGCCAUUUGCAUGUUGUUUCCUGCUUUUUGUGUUCUAAGAAAUUGUUGUCCACCCGAGCACAAGACGAUGCCUGUUUCCUCGCAGGAGUUUGAUAGUUUGGGAAUUUAUGUGGACGGUGAUCCCUGUUCAGCUAAUUGAGCGCGUGUGUCGCGUGAGACCAGCCUCCCCACCGAGAUACCCAGAGGGUCCAACACCUUGGGGACAAAGCUGUUUUUCCGACAGAGUUGUUUGGACAUCAAUAUUGAAAAUUAACUUACCAUGUUUACGUAGGUCUGCCUCUUUUUUCAAAAGUGAUUUUUCAACUGAAAAUUAUAGAAUUCUGCUUCCACUCUUUGUCCAGGUUCUACCUGCGCCUCCCCCUCCACGCCUCCCCCUCCACGCCUCCCCCUCCACGGCUUAGUCAACCACACCGCUUCCUUCAAGUGUCCUAAAAAGUGAGAUGUGUGCCCACAGGGUGACCCAGCGACUGCGCUCCUGGGCACUUACCCUGGAGAAACGGAAGUCUCACCGGACACCGCACACCGAGCAGCUUUAUUCGUGCAGCAAAAUCUCAGAAACGUCCCAGGCGUCCUGCAGUGACUACACGGACCGCCGCCGCCCGGAGAGGGGAACAUCACUUCGAGAUAAAAAGGACCUGACUCUGACGCACGUGGUCGGCAUGUAUCUCAAGGGCCUUGCGCUGGCUAGACGGUCCGACCUCAAAGAUGGUUGUAUUCCCCGUACACAGUGUUCCUGAAACAGCAAGUCCCAGCGAUGCCGCAGACACUGGGACGUGCCGGGGGUCACAAAGGGGCAGCAUGCCCAAGUCCUUCGUGGGAUGGGGCGGUUUCGUGUCCUGAGCGUGGUUGUGGUUUCAGGAAUCUGCACAUCACAGAAUCACAAACAGCCACACAACCAAACAAACGCGUACGUCUAAAAUCUUCCAGAACAUGCAAACUCGUCUCUAGCAGCAGAAGCAUCGGGGACGCCUGGCCAGAGGAGCAAGGGUGGGGCAGACGGACGUAUGGGGGGGUGGCGGGCAGGUUUGUGACGGUUUGCUUGCAGGAAGGAUUUUGUGGGCACAUGGUCAGAAAUUACCAACUGGGGACGCCCGGGGGACUCAGUUGGUGAAGCAGCUGCCUUCGGCUCAGGUCGUGAUCCCAGCGUCCUGGGAUCGAGUCCCACAUCGGGCUCCUUGCUCGGCAGGAGGCCUGCGUCUCCCUCUGCCUCUGCCUGCCUCUCUGUCUGCCUGUGCUCGCUCUCGCGCUCUCUCUC